CUAUCUUACGGAUAGAAAUUUAACUGACUAAGUCUAGCAGCUAGUUUCGGUUUUGGCCAUCCUCUACACAUAGUCUCCUGUACUAUUAAUCUAAUCAGCACUUCUGCUCUCCUUUGUUUCUGUUGGAAUGCAUGAUGAUUUCUCUCUUGCCAGAUGAAAUAUAUGGUCCCAGCCAGAACAAUUAUGAGCAUUUCAUCUUUUGUGCCCUUGCCAUUAGCAUAGCAUAUUAUCCACAGCUUUUCCUCAGUCCAUGAAUCGGUAUAAUCAAGCGAUGGAGGAGCUCACUAGAGUCGGCCGACCGAUGAUCAAGGCAAUACAAUCAUGCCAUCGGAGGAACAAACUAUCUCCUGUUGGUUGGACGUGGUCGGCGGCGUGAAUAAGGGAAGAGCAUAUGGCCUUUGCUCCGAGAAGAACUUUCACCGCCUCCAGUGUGGAUUGCAAGGUAUAGGAAGUUCGCCACCGUGUCAAAUGAGCAAGCUUGAGGAGAUGCGACACGAACUUCGGGAACUUGCUAGGAAUUAUGACGAGGAACGUAAGAAAAGGUUGGAGGAGGAGCGACGCAGAUAAAUCUUGAGUCAGAUGUCAAAGAACUCAAGAAUCAGGUGUGUAACCUCAUCAAGUUGCCUCGCUCUCCGCCCCCGAGCCCCGAUCAUGAUGAUGGUGAGGAUGUAGAGGAUGAGGAGGAUCAGGAGCAUGGAGAGGCUGAAAUGGAGUAUUAGGUGUCCGUUGUUAUUUUUGUUCUAACUUAUGUUAUUUUGGAUUGUUUGAAGUCUAGUGGGAUGCUUUUGAUAUAUGUUUGGAUAACGUUGACGUUGGUUGGAUUCGUACGUUUUUUGUUGGCUUAAUUUUAAUGUUUGAAUUA